UGAAAGGUAAAACUUCAUUUAAGAGUAAAAAAAGAAAGAAGAAUAUGCCAUAGAAAAGCAGCUGCUAGACAGUGGGCUACAGAGUUUGCUGAUCUGCGAGCAAAAGAUAUUGAACUAUUAGGUAUCUGAUUCAAUUACAACAUUGAUCAUUAAAAAGAAGAGUUUGAGCCGGGAGCCGUUUCAAAAAUGAUGUUUUGAAAAUUCCUGUCUUUAACCCAGCUGAGAGCUUCUCGGAAGGAGACUGCUUCGACAAGUUUCGGGUCCAAAGCCUACGGCAUAGAACUGCAGCAAGCACGAAGAAGGGAUCUAUUCUCAUCUCGAAGUACCCAGCAUGCUCCAAUUCUAUGACCAUGGGUAGGGAUAAGCAGAAGAUUCAUCAAAAGAAAAGAGUUGCAGGUUAGACAAAUGGGGUCUAUAUUUAGGUGUAAUGCACGAGAUUUUCUCUCGUGGGGAUGCAUUUGCAGAAAAUGCGUCAUAUCAAGUUUUUAACCUUAGGAGGGAGAUUUAGGCGCCAAAAGAGCUUCUAGAAGGGGUCACUGGCAGUUUCCUCAUCUUGAGAUUGAACAAGAAUUUUACAACACUCGACAGAAUAAAUUCCUUUUUGCUCCAGAGACCAAUACCAAAGAUCUUUAUUGUUUCCUCUCCUAGUGGGAUAGAGACAAUAAUAUCAGUUUCUGUGUUUAGACGAUGGAUCUUAUGAGGGCUUCAUUCCACUCGGAGGAUUCUUAAUAAAGGAGGUCUUUGACUUUUAGAUUUUCCAGAUCCUGAGGAGCCAGAGAAGAGAGCCAGUUGUCCGGGGAGCCACAAGUCACUCCAUAGGGAAAUGGAAUUGCCAUUUCCCACUCUUAAUCUGCAAUUGGAAGCUAUAAGAGGAAUGGAGGAAUGCAUGCUUCGCCAGUGGAAUUCUUUCCCAAAUUAGCUUGCAGCAGGUCCUCCUUGGGAAAAUAUUUUGCUUUAAAAAGCCGGGAAACAAGAGAGCUAGAAUUGGUGAGCAUUCUCCAAAUUUGUUUUCCAAGAAGAGCAAGCUUGAAAUAGUGUAUUCUAUGAAAAUUGAGACCCCCUUUUUCUUUGCUUGUGUAAAGAAGUUCCCAUCUUUUCCAACAAAUGCCUAUUCUAUUAUCUUUAUUGGAGUUCCACCAAAAGCUAUUCAUAGUCUUUUCAAUGUCAGAAUAAAGCUCCUUUGGCAAUAAGAAGAGACUCAUUGUGCAGGCAAGGAGGGCUUGGACAACAAACUUCAAGAGGACUUCUUUGCCUCUUUUGGAAAGGAAACGUCUUUUCCAGCAGCGCCAAAUUCUGUCCUUGAUAUAGCUAAACACCUUUUUUCUAUUUUAUCCACAGAAGAUGGAGGCCAAGAUAGACACCCAGGUCAUCCGAUUCUGAAACUCCCACAAAGUUAGCAAGCUUGAGUUGUGAGACCCAAACGGAACCUGGGCAUCAGCCUUCAGGCCCCACGCUCCCUUCCUUUCCGGUGAAUUCCUUGCUUCUCCUGGACUCUCUGGUUCAAUCUCCGAUCAGGUAAUCAAUAACCCUACCUUGUCUUUCAAUUUUUUUUUAUGAAUAUGCAUGCUCAUUUUCAUCUUUUGUCUGUAUAUUUAUACAUGUAUGCGUGUGAUGGGAUGAUCGAGGAAGGUGAUGUAGGUAUUUUCUUCAAAUUCUGUGUGUUUCGAUUAUUCUGCAAUUUAGUGCUCAUGCUUUGCUGCUUAUUUUCAGGAUUUUCCGUCAAUUGAAAUGGUAUAAUACUUUAAUUAGUGGAAAUGGAUAAACAUGAAGAUGAGUGCCUGGUUUGCAGGCGAAUUACAGACCAACAGAGGAUAAGGUAGGAUUGGUUUUUUUUUUUUUUUUUUUUAGUGAAUGUAAUGUCGAUUUUAGGAGUUUAGUACUUGUGAUAUUGAUUGGACUGAAUUUGCAAAACUGAUGCUAAUGAUGCAUCAGAGAUAGGUUAUGAUUUUAAUUUUUCUAAAGGACUGUGAAUAAGCUUUUUGUGAGAAGAUUUGAUAUUUGCUUAUAUAUAUAUAUAUAUAUAUCUUGUUUUUCUUUUCCUGGAAGCUGCGGCCCGACUCGUGGAAAUGAAGAAAUAGUUUGAAGCAAAAGCUUUCUUCCUCAAAGCAAUUUGAAUCCUGAAAGGCCUGGUUACUGAUAUUGCAAGAAUUAAAUGGAAUACAACAGUUAUUAAAAAAAAUAAAGCAGAUAAAUGAUGAACAGAAGAAGGGCUAGUGGAUGAGUUGCGAAAUGCAAAUCUUAGCAAAUUUUUUAGUGAAGUUGUUACAGAUGCAUUUGUGGGGAAGAAUUACCAGCGACGUAGUAACAAAGGAGAUUAGCUGGCAGCAUUAUCAGAUCGCAUUGAUUAGCUGGUAGUAUUAUCAGUAAUCCAUAGACGAGGAAUUUCUCAUUCAUUGCCCUGUAACACGAUGCUUAACUCGAGAGUUUAAGGAUUUAUUCUCAGAGCCUACAUCCAUAAGGGAUUCAACUAAUGCCAACUAAGAUAUACGGGCACUUCUGAAAGAAAUUCAAACACAAAAUGAGGCACGGAUUGUGCAAUCUGAAUCACGAAUGGAGAAUCAAUUGCAAACUUUAUCAAAACAGUUGCAAGAAUUCUUUAAGCAAGCCAGCACGUCACCAGAGGUAAACUCUAAUCGAAAUGGCUGCAAUAGCAGUCAGAACUAGGGAAUCCGAUUUGAAGAAAGACAGGACAAUGGCCAGACAACCAAUGGGGUAGUUCCACAAUACUUCAAAUUGGAUUCCCUACAUAUGAUGGCUCUGAAGAUCCCCUAAGCUGACUACACCGCUGUGAGCAAUUCUUUUCUAACUAGAGAACGCUACCGAGGGUCAAGCCAGGUUGGCUUGCCUUUUAUUUAAUAAGAGAAGCUCAGCUUUGGUUCUAUCAGCUAGAGCGGGAGGAAUACAUGACUUGGAAAAUAUUUAAAGAUUUUUGUAAUCUUCGAUUUGGCCCCCCUCCACGUGCUAGCCCUUUGGGAGAAUUGGUGAACUUGAAACAAACUGGAACGGUGGAAGAAUAUCAAAGGCAAUUUCAAAAGCUUUUAGCACGAGCUUCAUCAGUUGGAGUUGAUCAACAAGUAGAUCUUUUCACAACAGACUUGUCCGAUCCCAUCAGAUGGGAUGUAGAAAUACAUAAUCCGCCUAAUUUGGCUAUUGCCAUGAGUCUGGCGAGAGGAUAUGAAAGGAAGCAACAAUUGACUAGACAAAGAUCUUUCAAGAAAGGAUCAGCCUUCAAUAGUAGAACACCCACUUCCCACGCCUCCGUGACUGCACGCUCAAGUGCAACUAAAGGCCCACUUCCCAGCAACGGCAGCGUCACUACUCCUUUUAGCAAAAGGCUGUCUUGAACGGAAAUGGCCAACCCAAGAGCAAGAAGGUUAUGUUACAAUUGUAAGGAACAACAUUCAGCAGGCCAUCAGUGCAAGAAGUUGUUUUUGCGAUGGAGGACACUAAAUCACUUAAGGAAGACCAAGCCAUUUCGGCAGCAAAUGAACCAACAAUUUCUUUGCAUGCCAUUAUUGAAUUGUAGAAUCCUCAGACUAUGCAGCUUGUGUCGAAAUAUAUGGAUGUCCAAUCACUGCUUUAGUGGAUUCGGGCACCACACACAACUUUCAUUGCUCAAUGUGGGACCAUGGACUGUAACGCAUUGCUCAAUGUUUUUCCAAUUGUGCUCCUCAUCAUACAUGCCUCCUAUAUGUCACCAUUUGCUGAGUUAUUCUUAACGUCAUUAUUAUUUACUUCCUAUUCCUUA